UACGUAGGGUGCGAGCGUUACUCGGAAUUACUGGGCGUAAAGCGUGCGCAGGCGGUUAUGUAAGACCGAUGUGAAAUCCCCGGGCUUAACCUGGGAACUGCAUUGGUGACUGCAUCGCUCGAGUAUGGCAGAGGGGGGUAGAAUUCCACGUGUAGCAGUGAAAUGCGUAGAGAUGUGGAGGAAUACCGAUGGCGAAGGCAGCCCCCUGGGUCAAUACUGACGCUCAUGCACGAAAGCGUGGGGAGCAAACAGG
rnacentral:rRNA from 1 species